rnacentral:rRNA from 1 species
CGGGGUGCACCAGGCGCGAAAACUUUACAAUGCGGGAAACCGUGAUAAGGGGACACCGAGUGCCAGCAUCAUAUGCUGGCUGUCCAGGUGUGUAAAAUACACCUGUUAGCAAGGGCCGGGCAAGACCGGUGCCAGCCGCCGCGGUAACACCGGCGGCCCGAGUGGUGAUCGUGAUUAUUGGGUCUAAAGGGUCCGUAGCCGGUUUGGUCAGUCCUCCGGGAAAUCUGAUAGCUCAACUAUUAGGCUUUCGGGGGAUACUGCCAGACUUGGAACCGGGAGAGGUAAGAGGUACUACAGGGGUAGGAGUGAAAUCUUGUAAUCCCUGUGGGACCACCUGUGGCGAAGGCGUCUUACCAGAACGGGUUCGACGGUGAGGGACGAAAGCUGGGGGCACGAACCGGAUUAGAUACCCGGGUAGUCCCAGCCGUAAACGAUGCUCGCUAGGUGUCAGACAUGGCGCGACCGUGUCUGGUGCCGCAGGGAAGCCGUGAAGCGAGCCACCUGGGAAGUACGGCCGCAAGGCUGAAACUUAAAGGAAUUGGCGGGGGAGCACAAGGGCGAUUCGC